AACUUCCCUUUUCUUCCCUCUCCCUCUCUCGUUUCUCUUACCCCACGAUCUCCAAACCUCGCCUCUCUCGAGUAAACGAAAACCCUAACUCAGUCACAACUAUAACCACCUUUACUUCCAGAACGAACACCGAAGAAUCCCUGAUCUUCUUCUUCUCAUAUAUGGAUGUUUUUGGUAACAAAAUCGAUUUCAUCUGAAAUCGCUCAUCUCUUGUGUAAAAAAGUCACUCUUCUCUUUGUCUAAGCUAUCGACUUCAUCUGAAAUCGGUCAAGGGUUUGCUCAAGUCACUUUGUUUUCAUUACUCUUUCUCUAGCAGAUGAAGAUUGAUGAACAAGAUGAAGGAUGCUGGAACUUCUAAAAGAGAACAUGCAGUCAUGGAGAAGAUUAAAGAAGCACACAUGAGAGUGAUGGUGGCUAACCAUCCUCACAAGGGUGGGAGCAUGUAUCUUGCUAAAAAGAUCAACGAGGCUGAGGUACUUUUGAUGGAUGAGGGUCGAUUUCAAUUCUUUCCAUGUGAAGGUAGGACUGAUUGUUGAGCUAGAAGUCAUAGAACAAGUCAAGCUGGUGUUUUAUAAAACAAGAAGAAUAAUCAACCAAGAGGGGUACGAUUGAAUAUGAGUCAUGACAAUCUCUAUUUUUCUUUGUUGAUUUUUUUAAGCUAGGGUUUGUUGUUAGGAUUGACAGAUGCUGAUGAUCCUAUUCCCAGAUCUAGUAAUGGCUUGUCUGAAGAAAUUUCUUUUAAGAUUCUGAAACAUGUGUGGGUUUCUUUUUCUGAAUUCUGUGGUUUUGGUCAGCAUUUUGUGAUUUUAGUGAGUUGCAACUUGUUGCGGCAGGGUUGGAUGUCUAUAGCACAAGUCUUCUACAUCUAUCCAGUUAUUAUCUUAUCUUGAUUACUAAAUGUACCAUGUUUCAGGAAGUUAUAUCCAGAAAUGUAUUGGUUAAUGAAUGUUCAAGGCAGGUUGUCGAGGUGGAGCAAGCAGCCAUGUGGAAGUUUCUUUGGUGGUCGGGAAUCAUAGUUGUCCAUGUUAUGGUUGGCUAAAACAUAGAUGAUCACUCGGAAGCUACUUUCAUAUGCAUAAACGUCUGUUAUAGUAAUUCUUGAUUUCUGAAACUUUCCUCCAGCAUUUCCUUUCCUCCAGCAUUUCCUCCUCAAGCCUUUGUCUUUUAUUUCCUUCUUGGUUUGCGGGAUGAGUUCAGCUUGUUGAUGUACUUUAUGUUGAGUGUUUGCAUUUGUCUCUUUGUGAAGGAAGGACUCAUGCUGGUUGUUGCAACAAUCUGACAAGAUAUAUGCUGGAGCAUUUUGACAGUGAUUCAGUGAUUCGAAUCACAGUUUGAUUCUUCACAAGACUAAACUUUGUGCUCCUGCACUUGCUCCAUUCAAGGCUUAUUACGAAGGCGAUGGUUUUUCCGAUGUGUUUGAUUUGUCAUUGUUAUCUCAUGUCAGGGUUCGUAAUCUUAUUAGUACCUUAAAGUUUGUAUAGCGUCAGUAGUCUGUUCGGUCUGAACUAACCCAAGAACAUCACCCUAAUAGUAUUGCUCAGCAAAGAACUCUUCUCCCGCUAACCAGAAUCCAUCUCAUUUAUUUUGAUGCUUCUUAUAUAGAAUCUAAUCGUACUAUUAGAAUCGGUAUCAUUCUUCUUGAUAAUGCAGGAAACUUUUGGGGUGCCAAAACAAUCCCAAGCAAAACAUGAGAUGCUUAACAUGUUGAAGCCAAGGCUCUUCUUGUAGCCACACUAUGGGUUAACGAGCUGGAACUGCAGUUUACUUCAAAGGGGACUGAAUCAUUUUGAAGAUGUAUGCUAUGCUAUCUAGUGUUCAAAUCACCAUAGUUAACUAUUGCUGUUAUAGUGGUCUCUGUCAAGUUUUCUAGAUUUUUGGUUUGGUUAGUGUCAGUAUUAUUCGAAAAAAAAUAUUGUCUUUAGGUUUCUGUUAGUAUUAUUUUGUAACAUUUGAUAAGGUCUUAUUUGGAAUAAAAUUUCUGUUAAUUCUGGGUAAA